AAUCAACGCUGGCGGCGUGCCUAACACAUGCAAGUCGAACGCGAAAACCCCGCAAGGGGUUAGUAGAGUGGCAAACGGGUGAGUAACACGUGGGUGACCUGCCUUCGAGUGGGGGAUAACGUCCCGAAAGGGACGCUAAUACCGCAUAACAUCCUGCCUUUUAAGAGGUGGACAUCAAAGCUGGGGAUCGCAAGACCUAGCGCUUGAAGAGGGGCCCGCGCCUGAUUAGCUAGUUGGUGGGGUAAUGGCUCACCAAGGCAACGAUCAGUAUCCGGCCUGAGAGGGCGGACGGACACACUGGGACUGAGACACGGCCCAGACUCCUACGGGAGGCAGCAGUGGGGAAUUGUUCGCAAUGGGCGCAAGCCUGACGACGCAACGCCGCGUGGAGGAUGAAG
rnacentral:rRNA from 1 species